UGGAAAAGGGAGUGAUCCAGUCACAUAAAC
rnacentral:piRNA from 2 species